UGUCCUCUAUUCCAGGUUGAUCUUGAAGUCCCUCCAGUUUCUGAGAGUGACAGAUGGCUCUCCUUGCAACUUGCCCAAGCAUUCUCUCUGCCCUGAAAUUCUUGCCUAGCCAUCUACCAAUGAGCUUUUUAUUAACAAUGAGAGCAACACAUCUUCACAGUGCACAGAAAUAUUGUUCCACAGCACCAUCUCCUUACCUUGAAAACAACUCCUUUACGAUAUUUACAUCUGCUUUUGAAAUUCUGAAAGUUGAACUAUUGUGAACUUAUUCAGGGAAGAUUUCAAUCCAGCAAAUCACAAAGAGGGAUUCUACCCUCUGUGAGAAAGAGAAACCGACGAGGAAGACUGGAGAUAAGUCUCUGAGACAGGAGAGAAGGUUCCCAAACAGCUCAUGAUCCAGGGAUGAAGGUUUACACCUGUAAUCCCAGUGUUCAUGAAGCUGAGGCCAGAGGGUUACUCCAAGUUCCCUUGAGGCCAGUCAGAGUGAGACCCUGUCUCAAGAAGUCAAACUGCAAAUUGAAAACGGUUCUGUAAACAAGCUGGCUAUUGUCAUGUUACCACUGAGCAGAAAGGCAGAGUUAGAAGAUGGAACAAUGCCAGACUUGUCCCGAGAGAGGCUGGGAAAUCUGCCACUGAGCACUGGGAUGGGCCAUGGAGCAACUUGCCAGGAGAUUAACACACCCAGGGCAGACCUGAGCUGACUCCAGCCCAGGUUCUGUAGUCCUCAUGCUGCUCAGAGUUCACUGUGUCAGGGAACUACACGAGUCUCCGUAAAGGGCAGGGAUUCAGGAGCCUGGGCUGGGGUCUGAUACUCUGUCUCUCCCCCAGGACCCCCCUGCAAUUGGAAUGCUGGCAUAGAGCCUUACAUCAUGAGCAGGAGAGGGAGAAGGGUCAUUCAGAACUCUCUCCUCUCAGUCACUCAGUCAGUAGCAAACCAACAGAGAGUCUGAGAAGGAGAAGCUUCUAAGAAAACAAUGGCUCUGAAAACAGUUUUCUUCCCAAAGUACAGUACAAAAUGCAGGGAAACGAGUCUCAUUUCAGAGAAAGGCUCGUCUUGGAACUUUGCAACCCAAAGAAGCCCCAAAUGAAAGGACACUGGGGGUCAGCUCUGGGCUUCCUUCAUUGUACAGCGGAUGCUGGGCAAUGAGGAGAAAUGCCAAGGUCCCCCCCUCAAGAGAAGCAGGUGGCCCAAGAUGGCACACUCACCUUCCAG